rnacentral:rRNA from 1 species
UACGUAGGGCGCAAGCGUUUAUCCGGAAUUAUUGGGCGUAAAGAGCUCGUAGGCGGUUUGUCGCGUCUGCCGUGAAAGUCCGGGGGCUCAACUCCGGAUCUGCGGUGGGUACGGGCAGACUAGAGUGAUGUAGGGGAGACUGGAAUUCCUGGUGUAGCGGUGAAAUGCGCAGAUAUCAGGAGGAACACCGAUGGCGAAGGCAGGUCUCUGGGCAUUAACUGGCGCUGAGGAGCGAAAGCAUGGGGAGCGAACAGG